GACGUAGGGCGCGAGCGUUGUCCGGAAUUAUUGGGCGUAAAGGGCUCGUAGGCGGUCUGUCGCGUCGAAAGUGAAAACCCAGGGCUUAACCCUGGGCCUGCUUCCGAUACGGGCAGACUAGAGGUAUGCAGGGGAGAACGGAAGUUCCUGGUGUAGCGGUGAAAUGCGCAGAUAUCAGGAGGAACACCGGUGGCGAAGGCGGUUCUCUGGGCAUUACCUGACGCUGAGGAGCGAAAGUGUGGGGAGCGAACAGG
rnacentral:rRNA from 1 species